AUGGUAGAGGUGCAUUUUUCAUUAGUAAGUAUAUUGAUGCUUCAGGCGCAAACGAUAUAUACCAAAAGGGAACAAUGCCGAAGAUUGGAUUGUCCUGAGCUUUCCUUUCUGGGCAGCAAAUUAACAGUUUGCUGACUGUCAUCAUUUAUGAUGGAGCGCUACUAA
rnacentral:ncRNA from 1 species